AUUGAACGCUGGCGGCAGGCCUAACACAUGCAAGUCGAACGGUAACAGGAAGAAGCUUGCUUCUUUGCUGACGAGUGGCGUAUGGGUGAGUAAUGUCUGGGAAACUGCCUGAUGGAGGGGGAUAACUACUGGAAACGGUAGCUAAUACCGCAUAACGUCGCAAGACCAAAGAGGGGGACCUUCGGGCCUCUUGCCAUCGGAUGUGCCCAGAUGGGAUUAGCUAGUAGGUGGGGUAACGGCUCACCUAGGCGACGAUCCCUAGCUGGUCUGAGAGGAUGACCAGCCACACUGGAACUGAGACACGGUCCAGACUCCUACGGGAGGCAGCAGUGGGGAAUAUUGCACAAUGGGCGCAAGCCUGAUGCAGCCAUGCCGCGUGUAUGAAGAAGGCCUUCGGGUUGUAAAGUACUUUCAGCGGGGAGGAAGGGAGUAAAGUUAAUACCUUUGCUCAUUGACGUUACCCGCAGAAGAAGCACCGGCUAACUCCGUG
rnacentral:rRNA from 1 species